UUAUACCGCGAAACUGCGAAUGGCUCAUUAUAUAAGUUAUCGUUUAUUUGAUAGCACGUUACUACUUGGAUAACCGUGGUAAUUCUAGAGCUAAUACAUGCUAAAAACCCCGACUUCGGAAGGGGUGUAUUUAUUAGAUUAAAAGCCAACGCCCUUCGGGGCUCUGUGGUGAUUCAUGAUAACUUUUCGAAUCGCAUGGCCUUGCGCCGGCGAUGGUUCAUUCAAAUUUCUUCCCUAUCAACUUUCGAUGCGAGGGUCUUGUCCUCGCAUGGUUGCAACGGGUAACGGAGGGUUAGGGCUCGACCCCGGAGAAGGAGCCUGAGAAACGGCUACUACAUCCAAGGAAGGCAGCAGGCGCGCAAAUUACCCAAUCCCGACACGGGGAGGUAGUGACAAUAAAUACUGAUACAGGGCUCUUUAGGGUCUUGUAAUCGGAAUGAGUACAAUUUAAAUCCCUUAACGAGGAACAAUUGGAGGGCAAGUCUGGUGCCAGCAGCCGCGGUAAUUCCAGCUCCAAUAGCGUAUAUUAAAGUUGUUGUGGUUAAAAAGCUCGUAGUCGAACCUUGGGCCUGGCCGGCCGGUCCCCCUCACCGGGUGCACUGAUCCGGCCGGGCCUUUCCCUCUGUGGAACCCCAUGGCCUUCACUGGCUGUGCGGGGGAAACAGGACUUUUACUGUGAAAAAAUUAGAGUGCUCCAGGCAGGCCUAUGCUCGAAUACAUUAGCAUGGAAUAAUAGAAUAGGACGCGUGGUUCUAUUUUGUUGGUUUCUAGGACCGCCGUAAUGAUUAAUAGGGACAGUCGGGGGCAUCAGUAUUCAAUUGUCAGAGGUGAAA
rnacentral:rRNA from 1 species